UACGGGAGGCAGCAGUGGGGAAUAUUGCACAAUGGGCGCAAGCCUGAUGCAGCCAUGCCGCGUGUAUGAAGAAGGCCUUCGGGUUGUAAAGUACUUUCAGUCGUGAGGAAGGUGUUAAGGUUAAUAACCUUAGCAAUUGACGUUAGCGACAGAAGAAGCACCGGCUAACUCCGUGCCAGCAGCCGCGGUAAUACGGAGGGUGCGAGCGUUAAUCGGAAUUACUGGGCGUAAAGGGCACGCAGGCGGUUAAUUAAGUUGGAUGUGAAAUCCCCGGGCUUAACCUGGGAAUGGCAUUCAAGACUGGUUAGCUAGAGUCUUGUAGAGGGGGUAGAAUUCCAUGUGUAGCGGUGAAAUGCGUAGAGAUGUGGAGGAAUACCGGUGGCGAAGGCGGCCCCUGGGACAAGACUGACGCUCAUGUGCGAAAGCGUGGGGAGCAAACGAGGAUUAGAUACC
rnacentral:rRNA from 1 species